GACUCAUAGGCCGUCACAUUUCUUUCUGCUUUAGUCCCUCUGGACUUUAUCGGUUAGGUUGGCUAAUGGAAGUCCCUAAAGAAACUGUUAACUGCCCAACCUUGGCCAGUAGGAUGCAGGAUUAGUAGGUGGCUUCACAAAAUAAUUCCUAAUCACGUCUGUGGCGAUGGACCUGUGGAAAUCUCUUUGGUUUUUGAAUGCCAAGUCUCUAGAAGAAUAAGAAGUCAGGAGAGGGUUCCCGAGCUCAUUUUGCCAGCUCUGGCUCCCAGAGCAUCAGAGAGCCGACAACGUCAGGGCUCCCCUUUACUGUAUCUGGCAAAGCCCCAUCUGGUGAAAGACCGUGUCUCUUCCUCAGACUCCACUUGCACCUCAGCAGCAGGCUGUUGUCAAAAUAACACCGGAGACUAUACUGAUGGGCUUCCUUCAAAUACGCGAUCGGAUCAGAAACUCCUGUGGGCUCACCAGAUGUCAGGAGCGAUGGGACACCAGAGGCGGAAGAACCUAUGUCCCCAGGCUACAGCAAAGCUCCCAGCCCUAUGAAAAUCAUCUAGCCUGCUCUGAGCCACAUGCCUAGAGGUCACAGAGGCAUGCGGGAAAGUGAGAGGAAGUGGAAACGUGCUACAAAAAGGGCUCAAAGCAAUGUGCUCACCACCGGAAAAAAAAAUAAAAAUAAACACCCUCAGAAAUAGUGUAACUGAUAUGCAAAGAAGAUCAAAACAAGGUUUAAAAUA
rnacentral:lncRNA from 1 species